rnacentral:rRNA from 1 species
GUUGCAGUUAAAAAGCUCGUAGUUGGAUUUCGGAGUGGGCCAGUUGGUCCGCCGCAAGGUGUGUUACUGACUGGUUUGCUCUUCUUCGCAAAGACUGCGUGUGCUCUUGAGUGAGUGUGCGUAGGAUUUACGACGUUUACUUUGAAAAAAUUAGAGUGUUCAAAGCAGGCUAUUGCUUGAAUACAUGAGCAUGGAAUAAUGGAAUAGGACUUUGGUCCCAUUUUGUUGGUUUCUAGGGCCGAAGUAAUGAUUAAGAGGGACAAUUGGGGGCAUCCGUAUUUCGUUGUCAGAGGUGAAAUUCUUGGAUUUACGAAAGACGAACAACUGCGAAAGCACUUGCCAAGAGUGUUUUCAUUAAUCAAGAACGAAAGUUAGAGGAUCGAAGACGAUCAGAUACCGUCCUAGUUCUAGCCAUAAACGAUGUCGACUAGGGAUCAGCGGGCGUUAUCGUACGACCCCGUUGGCACCUUACGGGAAACCAAAGUUUUUGGAUUCCGGGGGAAGUAUGGUUGCAAAGCUGAAACUUAAAGGAAUUGACGGAAGGGCACCACCAGGAGUGGAGCCUGUGGCUCAAUUUGACUCAACACGGGAAAACUUACCAGGUCCAGACAUAGUAAGGAUUGAC